GAUGAACGCUGGCGGCGUGCCUAAUACAUGCAAGUCGAGCGAACGGACGAGAAGCUUGCUUCUCUGAUGUUAGCGGCGGACGGGUGAGUAACACGUGGAUAACCUACCUAUAAGACUGGGAUAACUUCGGGAAACCGGAGCUAAUACCGGAUAAUAUUUUGAACCGCAUGGUUCAAAAGUGAAAGACGGUCUUGCUGUCACUUAUAGAUGGAUCCGCGCUGCAUUAGCUAGUUGGUAAGGUAACAGCUUACCAAGGCAACGAUGCAUAGCCGACCUGAGAGGGUGAUCGGCCACACUGGAACUGAGACACGGUCCAGACUCCUACGGGAGGCAGCAGUAGGGAAUCUUCCGCAGUGGGCGAAAGCCUGACGGAGCAACGCCGCGUGAGUGAUGAAGGUCUUCGGAUCGUAAAACUCUGUUAUUAGGGAAGAACAUAUGUGUAAGUAACUGUGCACAUCGUGACGGUACCUAAUCAGAAAGCCACGGCUAACUACGUG
rnacentral:rRNA from 1 species